CGGGGGGAGCAAGCGUUGUUCGGAUUUACUGGGCGUAAAGGGCGCGUAGGCGGCGCAACAAGUCACUUGUGAAAUCUCCGGGCUUAACCCGGAGCGGCCAAGUGAUACUGUCGUGCUAGAGUGCGGAAGGGGCUACUGGAAUUCUCGGUGUAGCGGUGAAAUGCGUAGAUAUCGAGAGGAACACCUGCGGCGAAGGCGGGUAGCUGGGCCGACACUGACGCUGAGGCGCGAAAGCCAGGGGAGCGAACGGGAUUAGAUACCCCGGUAGUCCUGGCCUUUAAACGAUGGAUGCUUGGUGUCCGGGGUUACAUAGUCCCCGGGUGCCGGCGCUAACGCAUUAAGCAUCCCGCCUGGGGAGUACGGUCGCAAGACUG
rnacentral:rRNA from 1 species